rnacentral:rRNA from 1 species
AGAGUUUGAUCCUGGCUCAGGACGAACGCUGGCGGCGUGCUUAACACAUGCAAGUCGAACGAUUCCAUGCUUUCGGGUGUGGUUUAGUGGCGAACGGGUGAGUAACACGUGGGCAACCUGCCCUCCACUCUGGGAUAACUCCGGGAAACCGGGGCUAAUACUGGAUACGACCCUCCCUCGCAUGGGGGUGGGUGGAAAGUUUUUCGGUGGAGGAUGGGCCCGCGGCCUAUCAGCUUGUUGGUGGGGUGAUGGCCUACCAAGGCUUUGACGGGUAGCCGGCCUGAGAGGGCGACCGGCCACACUGGGACUGAGACACGGCCCAGACUCCUGCGGGAGGCAGCAGUGGGGAAUAUUGCACAAUGGGCGAAGGCCUGAUGCAGCGACGCCGCGUGAGGGAUGACGGCCUUCGGGUUGUAAACCUCUUUCAGCAGGGACCAAGCGUGAGUGAGUGUACCUGCAGAAGAAGCACCGGCUAACUACGUGCCAGCAGCCGCGGUAAUACGUAGGGUGCGAGCGUUGUCCGGAUUUAUUGGGCGUAAAGGGCUCGUAGGCGGCCUGUCGCGUCGGAAGUGAAAGCCCACUGCUUAACGGUGGGUCUGCUUCCGGUACGGGCAGGCUGGAGUAUGGCAGGGGAGACUGGAAUUCCUGGUGUAACGGUGGAAUGCGCAGAUAUCAGGAGGAACACCGGUGGCGAAGGCGGGUCUCUGGGCCAUUACUGACGCUGAGGAGCGAAAGCGUGGGGAGCGAACAGGAUUAGAUACCCUAGUAGUCC